UAGGGAAUCUUCGGCAAUGGACGAAAGUCUGACCGAGCAACGCCGCGUGAGUGAAGAAGGUUUUCGGAUCGUAAAACUCUGUUGUUAGAGAAGAACAAGGACGUUAGUAACUGAACGUCCCCUGACGGUAUCUAACCAGAAAGCCACGGCUAACUACGUGCCAGCAGCCGCGGUAAUACGUAGGUGGCAAGCGUUGUCCGGAUUUAUUGGGCGUAAAGCGAGCGCAGGCGGUUUCUUAAGUCUGAUGUGAAAGCCCCCGGCUCAACCGGGGAGGGUCAUUGGAAACUGGGAGACUUGAGUGCAGAAGAGGAGAGUGGAAUUCCAUGUGUAGCGGUGAAAUGCGUAGAUAUAUGGAGGAACACCAGUGGCGAAGGCGGCUCUCUGGUCUGUAACUGACGCUGAGGCUCGAAAGCGUGGGGAGCGAACAGG
rnacentral:rRNA from 2 species